UUAAGAGCCAACAUGUUGCCAUUUUGAGUAAGCACUUUUAUAUGAACAGUUGUAUCCCUAUCUAUUAUACUUGUAUAUAUAUAUAUAGCAUUAAUUAUUCCCCCUCGCAUACAUAUGGUCAUAGUCAUAUGGAGUACUACAAAUUGCAUAAACCUUUGGGUUUUUGGUCAUAAUCACCAUAGCUGUCAGCUUGUACUUGAACCAAUAUCAUCAGCAGUUCAACCAAAGCCCUAAGCCCCUUCAAGUUUUCUCUUCUUCAACCUUUAUCUAGCCAG
rnacentral:lncRNA from 1 species